UUAAUUUCUGCGAACUCAUUUUGGAACAUAAAUUGAUUCCACUUAGGACCACUAUACCAUCAAAUUUAACCUCAUUUUUAACUUCUUUCUUAAACCAAAAAUACAGUGCAUGUGAUUUUAUAAAUAUGGUUUACUUAGUUGAUAUGAUAUGCAUGGUAUUAAUAAAUUGAUAGUACCUCUGUACUUGGUAUUAAUACAUCUAUACUCUAAAACCAACUGCUAGCGGUAACCGGUGGACAUGAGAGUUCGACCUUUCAAUCGGUAAUCAUACAUUUAUAACAAAACAAAGCUUGUGAAGCUUGCAGCUUGAGCGUUUUCCGAUGACAUAACGGCGAAAGAGGAUAAUCAGCCUAAAACUGGAGUAGUGACAACAGAGGUAUUGUCUUGGUGGCGCUUGAUGCUCUCAAAAGGUGGUCAAUAGUGGGCCAUCUGAGCCGUCCCCGUGGUAGGUGGUGGAAACAGUGGUGAUCCAACUUCUUGGUCUUCCAGACAAGAGCCUCUCAUUUCGCAAAAGGCAUUCAAAGUCCAUUUCCACUUCCGAAAGAUAUGGAGUUAAAGCCGUUUGGUUUUGGAGACAGUAAAUUUGUAAUUAAGCACACACAAUCAAAAUGGAACUUUGUCCUAUGAGCCAGAGAGAGAGAGAGAGAGAGAGAGGGUUGGCAAUUCAAGUUUGAGAUGGUGUUGAUGAAUUUGUUCAAGUUCUCUCGAAAAAAUUGGUGACAUUACAGUGAUGUGUAUUUCUAAAUGAAUUAUUUUACGAAAGAUCAAUAGUUCAAAAUUUAGAAUCACUGGGUUUUUUUCUCUCGAAAAAAUUAGAUUUUCAAUCAAUACAAUUUGAGACAUACCAUUAGCAUGUGAAGUCUAAUUCUCGAUGCUACAUUAGCACAAUGAUAAUAAUGAUGAAGAAGAAGAAGAAGAAGAAGCUAUUUGUGGUCGAAUUUUGUGCGCACAAAUUGUGGAUGCUCCUAUCAUUAACAGUUGAUUUGAAAAGCACUCCACUCGUAUCCAGGCAGCAAGGGGCUAAGGGCUUCCAUUCCUUGUUCUCUUCCAUGCUUUUUAUUUUUAAAAUUUCAAGAUUUUUUUUUUUAGCAAACACUUCUCUUGAUGCAAAGGUCAACUCCAUUAUCCAUUAGAUGCUGUCAAUUCCAUAUAUAUGCUUAUUAUUAUUUUUAUUUUAAAAAAUAAAAAUAAAAAUAAGAAUCAUAUUUGGAUA